CGGCUUCGUUUGGAGGAGAAAAGUAGGUUAUCAUCAACCAUCUUAAUGUGCCGUUGCCUUCCAGAAUUAAGAGCGUUUAAGAGCUGUCAAAGACUGUUAGCUGAUCUCUGCAGGUGGUGACUAAUGGGACCGAUGUGUAGACGCAGGUGUAAAAUAUGCAGACUGCAAACAUUUCUCUGUGAAAGAAAAACACGUCAGGGAUAAGAAAUUAGAGUAACUCAUGUGCAUUUGGAUCCUUUCCCUGCUCUCCGUUAAAUGUCUUUAUAUGUGAGUUUUUUAAAGAAGAACACGAUUUUAUUUCCUCCUGCAUCAGUUCAUCGUUUUUUAACCUCUCAGGGAUUUUCAGCUUCGUUUCAUCAUUUCUCUGUAAAGUAUAAGUCCAUUUGUUUUGAAGAAGAAGUAAAAGAUAUUAAUCAAAUGUUGAGAUUCUCCCAUGUUUGAUCAGACUUCCCAAACACUUAACUUGCCGUUGGGGUUUCGUUAUCCUUCAUUUUGCUCACUUUAAACUGUGAUGCCAGCCUCAGAUUUGGCCGUCCUCCAAACGCUUUGGUCUUUUCAAAGAUGCAACAGUGCAGUUUGGCAGCCGGCACAAAGGGAGAGUUAGAAGACAACAUAUUAGCAAGAACCAGAGCAGGGCCGCUCACUCCCACAUCCAAGACUUCCAACAUCCAAAGUACACAUUUCUAUCCAAACUGCAGUUUUUCAGCCGUUAGAGGAAGCUGGAGUCUUAUCCAUAAAUAUGCAAAAUAAACUGGCAGGAGUCGAAGGAUUCUGGGCAGGAUUUCUGUCUGCCACCAGUGGAAGAUCAAACAAAUUAAAAAUGGGAAUGUGUCACUUGUUUUUCAGCGUUUGUAUAAUCUGCAGUUAUUUAUAAGUGCAGAGAAACGAUAAAAAGCAAGCGUGACAGAAAAAUAUGGAAAAUGUAGGAGAACAAAAGAAACGACUUCAUUUGGAGUUUUAAAUCUCAAAAGAAAAGAAUAAAGAGAAAAAAAAACAAUCCAGAUGACACAACAGACACAUCGGAGGCUAAUAAAAGGAACAAAAGACCCCAGAUAUCCGACAACGGUCCUGCUAAUACACAAAAACAAGACAACCAGAGAACACAAAGUCAGCGUGACUAAUUAAAACACCUGAAAGAAGAGGAGACGGGCUGUUUGUAUAUUUAUGAGGAAUUAUGUGAGGCAGAAAACCAACCAAUAAUAAUAAUAUUCUUAUUAUUUAAACCAACCAGACUGAUACUGCGGUUAUGGUAAAACCUCGACUCUGUGAUGUGUUAAAAUGUUUCUAACGUGUUUGACGGUUUUAAAAUCUUUUAUUAAUAGUACAAAGAUUAAAUAUCAACUGUUGAAACAGGAGGAGGGUCCAGAAAACACUGAAAAGUUGUGUAAUGUUGCAGAGCUUGACACUGACUUUUUUCACAAGGAGCACAAAGGACUUUAGGGGAACAAUGAAAAUUGAUCAAAUAAUGUUUGUCUUAUUGAUCAACCUUAGUACUAUUAUUAGAAAUCAAUUUCAGGUCUUUUGGUCACAUGACAGUGAAGCUAUUGAAGGAAAACAGCCUUUUCUGAGAACAUCAACCGGUAAUUUAUUGACGGUCCCUUAUUCAACACCGACUUUGACAGUGAGGGUGUCGAGUAGAUUUAACCGCGCUGCUGUUGUUAUUCCCGGUUAUGGAGAGUGAGAAGACACCGGUAGAUCCUCAGAGAAUGUCCGUCAGAUAUCCAACCUAAAACUAACUUCACCGCCGUAUUUACAGGAAAAUAUAUCCAACCUGAAACUAACUUCACCGCCGUAUUUACAGGAAAAUAUAUCCAACCUGAAACUAACUUCACCGCCGUAUUUACAGGAAAAUAUAUCCAACCUGAAACUAACUUCACCGCCGUAUUUACAGGAAAAUAUAUCCAACAUGAAACUAACUUCACCGCUGUAUUUACAGGAAAAUAUAUCCAACCUAAAACUAACUUCACCGCCGUAUUUACAGGAAAAUAUAUCCAACCUAAAACUAACUUCACCGCCGUAUUUACAGGAAAAUAUAUCCAACCUAAAACUAACUUCACCGUCGUAUUUACAGGAAAAUAUAUCCAACCUGAAACUAACUUCACCACCGUAUUUACAGGAAAAUAUAUCCAACCUGAAACUAACUUCACCGCCGUAUUUACAGGAAAAUAUAUCCAACCUAAAACUCACUUCACCGCCGUAUUUACAGGAAAAUAUAUCCAACCUAAAACUAACUUCACCGCCGUAUUUACAGGAAAAUAUAUCCAACCUGAAACUAACUUCACCGCCGUAUUUACAGGGAAAUAUAUCCAACCUAAAACUAACUUCACCGCCGUAUUUACAGGAAAAUAUAUCCAACCUAAAACUAACUUCACCGCCGUAUUUACAGGAGAAUAUAUCCAACCUAAAACUAACUUCACCGCCGUAUUUACAGGAAAAUAUAUCCAACCUAAAACUAACUUCACCGCCGUAUUUACAGGAAAAUAUAUCCAACCUGAAACUAACUUCACCGCCGUAUUUACAGGAAAAUAUAUCCAACCUAAAACUAACUUCACCGCCAUAUUUACAGGAGAAUAUAUCCAACCUUAAACUAACUUCACCGCCGUAUUUACAGGAGAAUAUAUCCAACCUUAAACUAACUUCACCGCUGUAUUUACAGGAAAAAAAAUAUGUGUGGGUAUUUUUUAAUGCGCACAUGUGACCUUAAAUACAUUUUACAAUUCACACUCAUCUAAUUUUAGUUGCACAAAGGAAACAUGCACUAAAAACAGACAUGACUCUGUAGUGGAAAUCACUGCAUGAGCUAUAAAUCCCCUUCAGAAACGACUGUCUUUGAACAGACGUUCACAUUUCAGCAAGACAGGCUGGACUCUGAAGUGGAAAUCACCACAUAGAAAGGACAACUCAAUAAAGUCCACUUGUCCUUUAAACGAAGAAUUAGAAACCAUAGAUGCUGCAUCCUCAGUUUUAAAGAGUAGAGCGUCCACCUGUCUUCUUCUCAGCGUCUCUAAUUAAGAGAAUAACUCGUUCAUUUAUUCAUCGAUGAACGUGUGCAGUUCGUGAAUCUCAGGACUAAUCAGGAUUAUUUUAGAUCACUCAUAUUUUCUCCACUUUGACACAAACUUCCCUUGAAUCCGUCUCUUCUCUUCCGUCGUGACGCCUCCGUUCUUCUCUGACCUUCAUCCCACCGUCCUCGGUGAUACAGGAGAAAGAGGUUUAAUGGCGUGUGUCUGCCAGAGCAUCUGUCCAGAGCAAAGAGCCAUGACACUGGGCUGUAGGAGAGAGGGAGGAACCGAGGAGCCCUGUGGGAGUUCUCUGGUGACCCUCCUUAUAAAACAGGCCUGAUGAAUCUGACCAGAGGACCUCUGCGCCCUUUGACUUCAAGAAUUACAGGCAUGGUUAAUUUGUACAGGAUUAAAAACACAGACUUCCUCCCCAGUUAUUAACUCUGACUGGAGGGUUGUACUAAUCCCAUGUGAGUCGGCUUAAACCUGAGGUCAGACCUCUCUCUGUGUUUCCUUUUAGACUCUCAGCAUUUAUAAUAACCUACUUCAUAAACCAUCUGAAAUUAACCGGUCUCUGGUCUCUGCUCCAGUACAGUCAGACUGAUAAUGACCCAGACAGGGUCCACUGAUGGUAGACUAGUCUGAGGAGGGUCCGGAUCAUUAUUAUUCUAUCAUGAGCCUCCUGUGAAAGUCUCAGACUGACACCAGACUCAGGUUAUCUGGAGAGUCUCUCAGUCCUGACUGGUUAGACACAGAGUUCAUGUGUGACAUUAGCAGACUUGAAUGAAGCUGCUGUAGAGUGUGUGGGGGUCGGUAUCUCUCAGUGUCCCC